UUAAGGAAGUUUUCGGAUGGAAUUGAUGAAUCUUAGUGGCGGACGGGUGAGUAACGUGUGGGCAACCUGCCCUUUACAGGGGAAUAAUCAUUGGAAACGAUGACUAAUACCGCAUGACAUCUUUGGUAGGCAUCUACCGAAGAGAAAAGGAGUAAUCCGGUAAAGGAUGGGCCCGCAUCUGAUUAGGUAGUUGGUGAGAUAACAGCCCACCAAGCCGACGAUCAGUAGCCGACCUGAGAGGGUGAUCGGCCACAUUGGGACUGAGACACGGCCCAAACUCC
rnacentral:rRNA from 1 species